AUUCUGCAUUCUUCAAAAAGCGUCAACCACAUGUCUCCAGCGAGCGCCUAGCAAUGUGCCUGCCUUAAUGGGUAAUGCAAAAUAAAUCGUUCUGGAGCUCUGAGAAGGACACAGUAAAAAGAAGAGCAAAAAUGAGCAUCUCAAAUAAGAGAUGUGGCAGGACAGAUCCUUAUGGGCCUGGAGAGUUAAACCCACAAAAAGAAAGGGAAGAAAGAGGCAGAAGAUCGGGAGGAGGACCAUGAGAAAGAACCAACAGAGGCAAACAACUUGAACAAAGAUGCAGAGGGAGAAUGUGUCGGACUUGUUUACAGGAACCUAAACACGGAACCAAAUUUGAAUUUUGAAGAUCCUUCUCUUUUUCUCUUGCUAGGAUGAUUAAUAGCCUCUAGUGUGAGAGAAUUUGUUGUUGUGAGGUGAUAAAACUGCUUUGAAUGCUAUAAGGUAUACAACUCUUGUCUCCCUUUUACAGAUGAGGAAACUGAGGCACAAAAAGGUGAAGUCCUGAGCUCACAGUCAUGCAACCAGCAGGUGGUGAAACACACCUCCAAGCUGCCUGCCUCCUAAGCAUCAAGCUUUGUGGCCCAGGAUCUACUUCAUGCUCCAAAUAUUCAUGGACCUUCCCAGGACCUCAACAAAACAAAACCAUGAAGAAAAACCUUGACAUGAACCCCAAAAAAACCCAGUCAGCAAUAUUUUAAGUUAAAUUUUGAAACAAAUCCAAACGGGUUCCUCCCCAUAAAUCUACCAGUAAAUUGUGCAGAAUCAGAACUGAAGCCAUGCCCUUUCUUAAAGUAUUGAAUUAGAAUAAAUGAGAACAUCUAAAUAUUUUCCAAAUUCAUAUUCCAGUUAUAAUAUUCAAGUUUCUUAGUUUCUCUCUGUUCACAUUCAACAUGAAAUAGUCCCAUUAGUCAGUAGCAAGAGCUGCAACAUUUCUACAGGUACUAAAGGAUGUGAUCAGAGCAGGGAAGAUGGCCAACAAGAUGAUGCCACUCUAGCGGGUGCCCAUCCAAAUCAUAACCCAUGAAUACUGCGGCUUUAUUAUCUUGGACAACAGAAAGCUGAUCUUGUAAUUGGAUGAUCACCCCUGCUUGCAUGCUUUCGAGUAGUUACGUAUGACAAAAGGAGCUACUGGUUUUGUGAUGAUGGGUUUCUGGGUAAACCCUAGAUGCAGAAGCAGCUUUUAAGCAUAGCAGAGCAAGAGUCAAAUGGUUCUGAAAAAAGUUUUAACUCUGAGAUGACUUCUCCCCGCUUCUUUCACUCUACCCUCUCAAUCCUAGAGCAAGUGAGCAGAGUAGGUAAAGCUGUUUCCUCCAGAAAGAUGAUCCAUAUUUUAAACAGCUCUGUGAAUGGGGCACUAAGACUCAGAAGAUCUGGUUUUCAGUUCGCAUUCUGCCUUUAACUGGUCUUGAAAGUUUGGGCAACUCAAUUAUCUCAUGGAGUCAGUAUUUGCAUCUGUACAGUGGGGAUAUGAAUACCUGUCUUACCUACACGGAGCUGUAAGAGCAACAGAAUGUGAGCUGGCAUGAUGUUAUUAUAUGUAUCACCUUGGUUAUUUUAAAACAUGCUUGAUGUAUUAGCCUCUCUGUUUCCUCUUGAGUUUUCCUGCAGAGAUGUCUUUUAAACCAAGCAUCACUCUCCCAAUCAGAGACAGGGCUAACUAGAUAGACAAAUGAGAAAGAGAAGUCGGGGAUGGGAUGGGAGCACAGCCAAUGCAGAAACAGUCAUGUGUAUUCUUCUAGACAGGUGAGCAGAGACAUUUUCAGGAUUUCAGGGGGGCAGGAUGGAGACAUGGGGGAAGCUUCUGGGUCAGUUCUUGAUGGUGUGGCUUCAGUAUGUAGAUGCACACAUUCUCCUCUAAGUCGAAAAGAAUAUACUGGGGGUUUCCAUUCUUUUGGAUUUUCCAGGCUUCUAACGACCUCCACCAUUCCCAGUCCAGAGGAGGUCAUGGGAUGAUAGAAAGUGGGAGCAACCAGGGCA
rnacentral:lncRNA from 1 species